UGCAGUCGAACGGCAACGCAAGAGAAAUCUUGGCGGCGAGUGGCGAACGGGUGAGUAAUAUAUCGGAAUGUGCCCAAGAGUGGGGAAUAACUAGUCGAAAGAUUGGCUAAUACCGCAUACAAUCUACGGAUAAAAAUGGGGGAUCGUAAGACCUCAUGCUCAUGGAGCGGCCGAUAUCUGAUUAGCUAGUUGGUGAGGUAAUGGCUCACCAAGGCAACGAUCAGUAGCUGGUCUGAGAGGACGACCAGCCACACUGGAACUGAGACACGGUCCAGACUCCUACGGGAGGCAGCAGUGGGGAAUUUUGGACAAUGGGCGAAAGCCUGAUCCAGCAAUGCCGCGUGAGUGAAGAAGGCCCUCGGGUUGUAAAGCUCUUUUGUCAGGGAAGAAACAGUGUUUUUUAAUAAAAAACACUAAUGACGGUACCUGAAGAAUAAGCACCGGCUAACUACGUGCCAGCAGCCGCGGUAAUACGUAGGGUGCAAGCGUUAAUCGGAAUUACUGGGCGUAAAGCGUGCGCAGGCAGCUGUAAAAGACAGAUGUAAAAGCCCCGGGCUUAACCUAGGAAUUGCAUUUGUAACUGCACGGCUAGAGUGUGUCAGAGGGGGGUAGAAUUUCACAUGUAGCAGUGAAAUGCGUAGAUAUGUGGAGGAACACCGAUGGCGAAGGCAGCCCCCUGGGAUAACACUGACGCUCAUGCACGAAAGCGUGGGGAGCAAACAGGAUUAGAUACCCUGGUAGUCCACGCCCUAAACGAUGUCUACUAGUUGUCGGGUCUUAAUUGACUUGGUAACGUCAGCUAACGCGUGAAGUAGACCGCCUGGGGAGUACGGUCGCAAGAUUAAAACUCAAAGGAAUUGACGGGGACCCGCACAAGCGGUGGAUGAUGUGGAUUAAUUCGAUGCAACGCGAAAAACCUUACCUACCCUUGACAUGUACGGAAUCCUGAAGAGAUUUAGGAGUGCUCGAAAGAGAGCCGUAACACAGGUGCUGCAUGGCUGUCGUCAGCUCGUGUCGUGAGAUGUUGGGUUAAGUCCCGCAACGAGCGCAACCCUUGUCAUUAGUUGCUACGUAAGCGCACUCUAAUGAGACUGCCGGUGACAAACCGGAGGAAGGUGGGGAUGACGUCAAGUCCUCAUGGCCCUUAUGGGUAGGGCUUCACACGUCAUACAAUGGUACAUACAAAAGGCUGCCAACCCGCGAGGGCGAGCUAAUCCUAAAAAGUGUAUCGUAGUCCGGAUUGUAGUCUGCAACUCGACUACAUGAAGUUGGAAUCGCUAGUAAUCGCGGAUCAGCAUAUCGCGGUGAAUACGUUCCCGGGUCUUGUACACACCGCCCGUCACACCAUGGGAGCGGGUUCUGCCAGAAUUAGUUAGCUUAACCGAAAGGAAGACGAUCCCC
rnacentral:rRNA from 1 species